UACUCUUUGAUAAUUAUACUUGUUUAGUUGCUAAUUAUUUUGAUGUUAUUACUUUUUUGCACUGUGCUUCUGGUUUCUUCAAUUUCAUAAAUUUGGAGAUAUAUGCUGAACAUGGAAACCUGGUGAUGAUCUAAUGAUGAUGAUGGGAUAAAAUUGAUAUUGAUAAAGAAAAGUAAACCCUUAGGCCUGAUAACAAGUUUACCCAGAAACUUCAACGAGAGAGGUUCAUGUGACUUAUCAUCAAUUGGAUACUCAAUCAAAGUCAAGAGCUACUUUGUCUUAAAGUAAAUUUUUUCAAGUACAGUCGGUAAAAAGCAAGACUAAAGGUAAGUUCAUUGAUCUUGAAGAGAAAACGAAAAGCAAUGCAAAGGUAUUGGUAAAAAAAGGAUAUUCAAUCAGAUAAAUGAUUGAUUCCAUUGCGUUUUCGAGUUCACAUUCUCAUAUUUUCAUUUCCAUCUCACAAAUAACAAUAUACAGCCUGUAAGUUAAUAAUCACUGUAUAUAAAGCCUUUUGUUUAAUCCAAAUAUUUAUAAUUAAACCUUUUUGAUUGUCCAAUCUCAAUGAAAAUCUUUAAAAAUUAUGUGUUGCUUGUAAUGGCGUAAUUAGCAAUUCACCCCUCACUUAUUACAUAAUGAGUGCAAAAUUCAAAAAACAUGUGGGUUUUGCUUUGUUUAACGUCUACUUUUUUACAGCAAUUUCCCGAAAGCUUAUUGUUAAUUUUAAUUGAAACUUAUUAACAUACAACUUGUGACAAUCAAAUUAGAUUAGUUUAUAUUCUGUUAAAGUUUACUUUUACUUGUUCUAACCAUUUCUUUAUUCCAAUUGACUGUAUGAAAAAUUUGUUUGAUGCAUGUUAUUACCAUUCAAUGGUCUUUGUAAUGAUGUGGAAACAAAGCUCAAAGUGGAUUAAAUUGUUCCCAAAAUAUGAUUAUUAUUGUUUUUAUUUUUAUUACUGUGCUUAAAAUUUGAGUUUUUUUCUUCUUCUUUCGCCUUAAAUAUUCAACUGUGGAAACAAAUUAAUUGAAAAAUGUGAAAAUUUAUGCAUUCAAGUUGGAACAAUAUGCAAAGUUAAACAAUAAUCCCUGCAAUGAUAAUGAAAAUGCAAUGAAAACAACUCAACUUGCUAUGUAAACAGGGAAAAAUGAAUUGGUAUCAUUUAAAAACAGGUCGGAGGAAAAACAAGAAGCAAACAAUGAAGAAAUAAUCGCAGAAGACAAGUUGAAGGAGGAGAAGAAGGAGAAGGAGGAAGAUCAAAACGAAGAUGAUAAUGUUGAUAUAAUGUUGGCAAUAAAAUUUGGAGAUGAAGUGAACAAAAUAAUCUGCAAAUGGUUUUGGUGGCAGAUUUUUAAAGAAACCUUUUCUUCACUUUGCUCCAUGCUAAACACAAUCUAUUACAUUAUUUUGAAUUUCUCUUUUGGUUUUUUCACUCAACUUUGGAACCAUCAAUAUAUCACUGAUUUUGGCAACAUUGUACCAAUCAUGUCAAUUUCAGAGGAAGCAAAAUUUAACUCUUUCCAAGCUGAGUCCUUAAAGUGUUUGGAAAUACAUUAUGGAUUUAUUGUCAAGCCUAAAAAUGUUGAAAAAAUGCCAUUUAUCAAUAUGCUUAUGCUGAUUGUCGUGAAAAAAUUGCAUAAUUGAAAAGGUUUCUUUACCCGUUCAUUUACCCGAACCAAAGGAAAGAAAAGAUCUUUAUCAUUAUGGCAAUUGAUGAUGGUAAUGACGGUGAUCCUGAUGGCAAUAUUGAUUGCUACCCUAAUGGUGAUGCUUUUAAUACAAUUAAUCCUUUAAAACCAUUCUAUGGUAAACUAUUAAAGCUAAACUUUAAUCACUUUGCAUCUAUUACCAAUGAUAAUAGUUUUUAAAAAGUGAGAGACGAUUAAAGUUCACAAACCCAUUACAAUGUAAUAAUAACACCUAAUAGGAUCCUGUUGACUGUAUAUCAUGUUAAACACCCAACCAGUGGUCUCAAUUUACCCGUGAAUGAUAUAGUGCUAUCAAAAAAGCAGUAGAGAGGACACAUUAAAUUAUACAAUGAAUUGUGAAUCAAGCACAAAAAGAGAGGCCAACAAUAAAGCGAUAAAGAAUCGCCAACCAACAAUAACAAACCCCGAUGAACUGUUUCACUUGAACAAAUCAUUCAUUUGAUGAAUUAGCUGAAGAAUGAAAAUUGGAUAACAAACAGGGCUAUUUUUUGAAUAACUCUGAAAGGAUUUUUCUGCUUGGAUUACAUUUAAACUGGAUGAAUCUAAGAGCAUCAAAAGAAGAAAGAAGAAGAAGGCGAAGAUGAAUCCAAAAGUAAAACCGUCUAAAGCUAAUGCUAAAUGCGAGAACAUUUUCAUCUUUUUUUGAAGCAGCUAAAAGCGUCUAAAAAAUAUGAAAGUUAUCCUGGAAACUUUCCUUGAUAUUGAACGAUCAACUUACUCGUAGCAAGUGGAAACCCAAGCAAAGAUUGUAUUUAAUCCAAUUGCCUGUAAUAGCUUUUUCAAUACAAAUUCACCCUUCCUCCUCCCUUUCCACCCUCUUUUUGCUCUCAUCCUUCUUUUAUCGCCAUAAUCUUUCCUCCAUCAAAUAUAAUGUAUAUAUUUAUAUGCCAUCUCUCUGCCUUUGUAAAAAAAUUAAUCCAAUUGAGUGAAAUCAAUUUUUCAAUUUUCAUCAUUAUCUACAAUCUAAUUAGAUUGCUACUCAUGAUGAAGGAAGCUUACCAUAAAAAAGUGCACAACUAAAAAAGCAAUCUCAAUAGGUUGACCCUGUUUUCAUGUACAAUUUUCAUUUCAUUCAAUUUUCUGCAACUAUAGUCGAUUUAACCAAUUUUUUACACUCUUUUUCUUAUUACACACUCACACACAACCGAUGUAAGUUAUCAUUAUCGUUAAUCAAGGCCAGCUUUAGGCCAAUUUGUUAAUUGAAUUGCUAUAAGAGCGGGAGAAGUAAAAAAACACAUUAAUCUACUGUCAACAGUAAAGCUUCCAUAUUACUUUCAAUAACUUAUGCUUCUAAAGCUAAAUACAAACACAAAACAGUUUGUUUCAAGUUAACCACAAUCUCAAUCAUUUGUAUUACCUUUUUACCUUUUCUCAUCAUUUCCCUUGAAACUGUUAUCAAGAUUUGGUAAGCAAAACCAAUUAAAAGUAUUUCAUGCAAUUGCCAGCAACCAACAA